rnacentral:tRNA from 1 species
GGCAGUGUGGUUUAGUGAAUAAAGCAGUUGGGUGGGAACCAAGAUACCUGAGUUCUAUUCCCCGCACUGCCA